rnacentral:pre_miRNA from 1 species
GUCUUUGUGGGUGUGGCACCAUCAAGAUUCACAUGGAUUCGGCCGCCGUUGUACAUGAGAAUCUUGAUGAUGCUGCAUCGACAAACAC